rnacentral:ncRNA from 2 species
AGCGAUCACCGGAGGUGCCCUAUUUUGGGCUGAGAUGACUUGUCAUGAGUUAAACUCUUGGAACCUGAUCUGGAUUAUACCAGCGUAGGAAGAGUGGUAAUUAUAUUGA